UACGUAGGGGGCAAGCGUUGUGCGGAAUGACUGGGCGUAAAGGGCGUGUAGGCGGCUGGUUAAGUCUGGAGUGAAAGUCCAGCUUUCAAGGUUGGAAUUGCUUUGGAUACUGAUCGACUUGAGUGCGGAAGAGGUAAGUGGAAUUCCCAGUGUAGCGGUGAAAUGCGUAGAGAUUGGGAGGAACACCAGUGGCGAAGGCGACUUACUGGGCCGUAACUGACGAUGAGGCGCGAAAGCGUGGGGAGCGAAC
rnacentral:rRNA from 1 species